rnacentral:rRNA from 1 species
UACAGAGGGUGCGAGCGUUGUUCGGAAUUAUUGGCGUAAGGCGCGUAGGCGGUGCGGUAAGUCACCUGUGAAUCUCCUGGCUCAACUGGAGCUGCAGGCGAAACUGCCGUGCUGGAGUGUGGAGAGGUGCGUGGAAUUCCUGGUGUAGCGUGAAUGCGUAGAUAUCAGGAGGAACACCUGUGGCGAAGCGCGCACUGACCACAACUGACGCUGAGCGCGAAGCUAGGGAGCAACAG